rnacentral:rRNA from 1 species
AUCUAUGGCCAUGCUACCCUGAACAAGCCCAAUCCCAUCUGAUCUCAGAAGCUAGGCAGAAUUGGGCUGGUUAGUACUUGGAUGGGAGACCACCUAGGAAGACCAGGUGCUGUAGGGG